rnacentral:tRNA from 1 species
ACAACUUUAGUUUAUAAAAAUAACAGUUUGUCUCACUGUAGAUGGCUUUGGCCAAGUUGUA